rnacentral:lncRNA from 1 species
GUACUUCUUGCAAAUCUCUAAAGGAAGAAGUAGAAAGUCUUAGAAGCACUUCGCACAAAUUCAAUUCUUCACACAAAAAUCUCAAUGAAGUGCUUGUAAAUUUGAAAUCCACUAAGCACGGUAUAGGCAUUAAACACGAGCCAAAAGAAAAAGUUGAGUCCAUUCCUAAACCACCUAAGACUCAACUUAGGCAAAACAAAAUAAAUGUCAACACUCAACCUAGAAAUUUN